GGGGUUGACUGGAUUUGACGGCGAGAUGAAAUGGUACGUAAGCACGCGGAGCGUCGGUGGUUUGCUCCUAAAUCUCAGCCUUCAAGCAAUUAAUUGGCAACAACAAGUAUGCUCUCGCUGCUUAGUCGAAGCACAGUAGACUGUUAGCUUAAUUCCCUUGCAAGGCGAGGGAACGAGACAUCGCUCCGUGGAUGUUGUUCCGAAUCCUACGGGCCAAGCGGUGCAGUAACAUCGGAAAUAGCCCCGGCAAGGUCUCAUUGCCGUGGUGAAGCUCUUGAGAAUAAGGUUGCGGUUGGUGGUCCGGGUCUUGCCGCAGCACGAAAAUGAAGUCCGGAAUAAGCGUGUAGAAAGCGUAUGGUUUCCUUGUGCGGACGUGGGUUCGACUCCCACCAGCUCCACC
rnacentral:tmRNA from 1 species